CCCUUAGAUGUUCUGGGCCGCACGCGCGCUACACUGACGAAUGCAACGAGCUUAUAACCUUGGCCGAAAGGUCUGGGUAAUCUCCAAAUUUCGUCGUGAUGGGGAUAGAUUAUUGCAAUUAUUAAUCUUCAACGAGGAAUGCCUAGUAAGCGCAAGUCAUCAGCUUGCGUUGAUUACGUCCCUGCCCUUUGUACACACCGCCCGUCGCUCCUGCCGAUUGAAUGGUCCGGUGAAGCGUUCGGACCGUGGCCUUUGGACGGUUCGCCGUCUGUUGGCUGCGGGAAGUUCGUUAAACCUUAUCAUUUAGAGGAAGGAGAANUCGUAACA
rnacentral:rRNA from 1 species